UACACAAUUUUUUUUAAAACACUAAAAGAAGAAGAAGAAGAACAUCCGGGUACUGGUGGUUACUUCACAGCCAGCUUUAGCCACGCCCAGUUCCAAGUCACGUUGGUAGUGACGUAAGCGAAGUAUAAAAACGCAUCGCGCAAGCCUUCCUGUCUUUGCUCUCUCUCCACCGUCGUCGUCUCGGACGCGAGCAUCGAUCUCUUUAUCGUGUCGUAUUUUUCAUACAUUUCUAUGUCUUUCUGUUCAGCUACGAUGCUGAUUGCAGCACACGACCCUCCGUGAAAAGCCACCGUUUUGACGGAAAUGUGAAGUUGUACGCGCUAGCUUGUUAGCAUGCUAGCUCCAAGGCGAGCAACACGUGGUCACGCCUGCAGCCAUGCAUCUUCUGACAGGUUCCUGCUCCAGAUGUUCCAUGUCAGAUUGAGCAGCUAUAAACUGCUGCUAGAGGAUCAUCAGUGGACAGGUGACACUUGAUUUGGGCGGAGCAACCUGAAGAGUAAAAAACCCAUUGGGGAGUGACAUUGAGGUUUAUUUAAAAAUGAUAAUAAAAAAACUUGAAUUCA